CUUGAACCUUAUAAGAGGUCCAGCCUGCCCAGUGACUCUGUUCAACGGCCGCGGUAUCCUAACCGUGCGAAGGUAGCGUAAUCACUUGUUCUUUAAAUGUGGACUAGUAUGAAUGGCACUACGAGGGUUAUACUGUCUCCUUUUUCUAAUCAGUGAAACUAAUUUUCCCGUGAAGAAGCGGGAAUACAACUAUAAGACGAGAAGACCCUAUGGAGCUUUAAACAACCUAGCAAUUACUUCUAAAAUUAUAAAUUUCAGAAUACUCAUUCUUUAAGCAAUAUGUCUGCAAGUUUUUGGUUGGGGUGACCAUGGAGAAUAACACAACCUCCAUAUUGAAUGAAUUUUUAUUCUAAGCUAAGAAUUACUAAUUAAAGCAUCAACACACUGACAUUUAUUGACCCA
rnacentral:rRNA from 1 species